rnacentral:rRNA from 1 species
UACGUAGGGUGCGAGCGUUGUCCGGAAUUAUUGGGCGUAAAGAGCUCGUAGGCGGUCUGUCGCGUCGAAUGUGAAAACCCGGGGCUCAACUCCGGGCUUGCAUUCGAUACGGGCAGGCUAGAGUUCGGCAGGGGAGACUGGAAUUCCUGGUGUAGCGGUGGAAUGCGCAGAUAUCAGGAGGAACACCGGUGGCGAAGGCGGGUCUCUGGGCCGAUACUGACACUGAGAAGCGAAAGCG